rnacentral:rRNA from 1 species
ACGCAGCUAACGCAAUAAGUAGUCCGCCUGGGGAGUACGGCCGCAAGGUUAAAACUCAAAUGAAUUGGCGGGGGCCCGCACAAGCGGUGGAGCAUGUGGUUUAAUUCGAUGCAACGCGAAGAACCUUACCUGGUCUUGACAUAUCUAGAAUCCUGCAGAGAUGCGGGAGUGCCUUCGGGAAUUAGAAUACAGGUGCUGCAUGGCUGUCGUCAGCUCGUGUCGUGAGAUGUUGGGUUAAGUCCCGCAACGAGCGCAACCCUUGUCCUUAGUUACCAGCGGGUUAAGCCGGGAACUCUAAGGAUACUGCCAGUGACAAACUGGAGGAAGGCGGGGACGACGUCAAGUCAUCAUGGCCCUUACGACCAGGGCUACACACGUGCUACAAUGGUAGGUACAGAGGGCAGCUACACAGCGAUGUGAUGCGAAUCUCAAAAAGCCUAUCGUAGUCCAGAUUGGAGUCUGCAACUCGACUCCAUGAAGUAGGAAUCGCUAGU